GGCCGAUAUGGCGCAGUGAUAGUGCGACUGCCUACGACGCAGAAGGUACCGGGUUCGAUUCUCGGUGGGUCA